rnacentral:lncRNA from 1 species
CACAGGCCUGAGGCCUGUGGUGAGGUGAGGCCUGGCUGGGCCUCGGCCAGGUCGCCCAGACUAAAUUUCAGCAAACCUAGCUAUGAAAUCAAGUGCCUGGGUUGCAUUUCUGGGGGCACUAAGGGACAUGAACCAAAACCAGAUAUGACUUGUUAAAGCAGAUAUGUGUUUUGGGGAUCCCUGUUUAGAACAUGGAAGAUGGAUAUCCUCCAGAACAUAGCUCAGAGCACCUCUGAACGGCCCCUUAGCAGGACUUUUUUCUCCGCCUUUCUUCUUUGAGAGGACACUGGGAAAUGCAGUCUAUACUGUGGUCCUUUCUAGAUUUCUAGAUGAUGUUUUAAUUCUACCUAAGGUCCUACCCAACAUGAUUCCUUUGGGAAGCAAUAAGACUUUCCCAGACAAGACUUAG